ACCACCUGGGGACCUUGUUAAGCUGCAGUUCUAGUUCAGUAGGUCCAGGGUAAGGCCUGAGAUUCUGCAUUUCUAACAAGCUCCCAGGUGAUGCUGA
rfam:Nomascus leucogenys chromosome 3, whole genome shotgun sequence.